UACGUAGGGUGCGAGCGUUGCCCGGAUUUAUUGGGCGUAAAGGGCGCGUAGGCGGCCACGCACGUCCGUUGUGAAAUCGCCCGGCUCAACUGGGCUAGGUCAGCGGAUACGGUGUGGCUCGAGCAAGCUAGGGGGCAAUGGAAUUCCCGGUGUAGUGGUGGAAUGCGUAGAUAUCGGGAGGAACACCAGUGGCGAAGGCGGUUGCCUGGAGCUUUGCUGACGCUGAUGCGCGAAAGCUAGGGGAGCAAACGGG
rnacentral:rRNA from 1 species